GUCAUAAGAAAAUGGCGUCUUGGACGUUUGAAAGUGUCUGUUUGAUGGCAAGCUAUGUAAACAAUUUUUUAUCGCUCGUAUAAAUCCUCAUAAGAAACUAAAAAUGUCUUCGCAUAUUGCUACAAUAGCCGAGGAAUUAGCCAAGGACUAUGCAAAUUAUGCAAAAUUAGAUUUAAGCAAUCAAAUGAAAAGUUUCCACGAUACGAUCGAAGAUGUAAUGAUGCGCUUAGAAGAAUUUCAGUCUAUUAUCGAAAUGGUUCAAUCUGAAAGUUCGCAAUGUAUUGAUCAACACAUUCCAAGGUUGGAAGAUGCACAACAAGAAGUUAUAAAUCUAUGCAGACGAAUUGAUGCCCUAGAACAUGUUAUAGCAAUGGCUAAUGUAAAUCUAACUACUUUAGAAGCUGCUGUUGAUAAUGCAGAAGCCGAAUUAGGAAUUUCUGAUAGACUAUUUGGAAUGUUAAAUCCUUUAUCCUUCUUUAAAAAAAAUCAAGAACCUGUGCUACCUAAUAAAGUACCCAUAUACGAAGCACCAACAAUUUAUAGAGCAAAUGAUUACUUUAGCAGCGAUUAAAAGAUACACUUUUUAUUUAUAAAAUGUAAUUUAUUACCUUUGUUAAUUAAUCUCAAAGAUGAAAAUGUAUUGCACAUUGAAAAGAAAUUUUAAAUAUUUUAAGAACAAGCCGUAUUGGGAUUGAGAUGCAAAAUAUGUUGCAUACGAAAUUGCUGUGUAACUGCAAAAUAGUUACCAUUAUCCAGCUUAUAAGUAUUUUGUUCAUUUAUAUUAUCAAUUUACCAGAAAUUGCAAUUAGG